AACACCUGGUGGGCAGCAGCUGCCUUAUCUGCUCACUGUGCCUUCUCUGCUUCCUUCGAAUUCGAUCCUUCCAAUGGGCAGCUUCGCCAAGCACAUGAUCCUUUGCCACAUGACCCCGACGCCAUCCACCCCCGGCCACCACCACCACCAGCAGCGCCGCGGGGUGGAACCACCGCCUCGUCCUCCUGCGGUAGCCGAAGAGAAGCCUAACCACUCGACGCGGCGGUGGACGGUGCUGUCGACGGUACUAACUGCCUCCACGGCGCUGGGCCUACAGCGGGCGCCGCCGGCCGCCUUGGCGCAGGCCGAGCAGAGCUGGGGCACCCGGUCCUUCAUCAAGGAGAAGUACUUCCAGCCGGGGCUGACGCCGGAGGAGGCGGCGGCGAGGAUCCGGCAGACGGCGGAGGGGAUGCGGGACAUGCGCCACAUGCUCGACACCAUGUCCUGGCGCUACGUCAUGUUCUACGUCCGACUCAAGUCGGCCUACCUCGACGCCGACCUCAAGAACGCCGUGGCCGCCGUCCCGGAGCCCCGCCGCAAGGCCUUCGUCAAGACCGCCAAUGAGCUGGUGGACAACAUGGCCGAGCUGGAUCGUUAUAUACGCAGCCCAAAGGUAUACGAAUCGUACCUCUACUACGAGAAGACGUUGAAGUCACUGGAUGAGUUGGUUGCACUGCUGGCCUAACAUGACGGGAGGGAGGAGAUCAGAUCGCUGUGCGGGAUUUGGUGCAGGAUUAGUUGCAAACUGGUGUCUGUUAUAACGGAUGCACCGCAUGAUCGACUUCUUGUUUGAUGGAGUAUAACGUACUAUAGGUUUAAUCUCGAAUCCAAAGCUUGUAUGAUUUGAAGACAGUCCCACAUGUGGGGCCCGACGUACUCACUAGUCAAGAGACAGCUGGCCGACCCGUAAAACGUACGUGGAUGGGAAAGCGUAUCUCCAAACAAAUAUCUCCGGAACCGUUGACUUUGACCGUUCAAAGGGGGUUGAAGGCCGUCUUGUCCCUUGAGCAACCGAAGAGUUCGAGAUCAGGGCUCAACAAAGAGCACAACCGGAGCCGACGACGACGAGAUCGAAGCAGCGAGAGAGAGAGAUGGAGGGGCGGAACCUGAGCGGGUUCUUGAUCGGAUGCCUGGGGACGGCACUGACGCUGGGCGCCUACUCACAGACGCUCGUCUCCUCCACGCAGUGCAUCGCCAUCGGCCUCCUCAUCCUCAUGUUCGGCCUCUUCGUCAAAGAAGGUUUCCUCUCCCUCUGAAACCGCUCAACUCCUUUCAGUCUCGUGAGGAAGACAUGAGCUGACUCCAAGUUAUACUCCUCUGCUGCUUCUUAUCACACGUAGCACUAUGUUUGACCUUUUGAUCUGUAAUAAUAACUUGAAGCAGAACGAUACCAAGUAGAAUGAAAGAAAGGGAGUCCCAUUUUCUUC